GACGAACGCUGGCGGCGUGCCUAAUACAUGCAAGUCGAGCGAAUCUUUUGGGAGCUUGCUCCCGAAAGAUUAGCGGCGGACGGGUGAGUAACACGUGGGCAACCUGCCUAUAAGACUGGGAUAACUUCGGGAAACCGGAGCUAAUACCGGAUACGUUCUUUUCUCGCAUGAGAGAAGAUGGAAAGACGGUCUCGGCUGUCACUUAUAGAUGGGCCCGCGGCGCAUUAGCUAGUUGGUGGGGUAAUGGCUCACCAAGGCGACGAUGCGUAGCCGACCUGAGAGGGUGAUCGGCCACACUGGGACUGGGACACGGCCCAGACUCCUACGGGAGGCAGCAGUAGGGAAUCUUCCGCAAUGGACGAAAGUCUGACGGAGCAACGCCGCUUGAACGAAGAAGGCCUUCGGGUCGUAAAGUUCUGUUGUUAGGGAAGAACAAGUACCAGAGUAACUGCUGGUACCUUGACGGUACCUAACCAGAAAGCCACGGCUAACUACGUGCCAGCCGCCGCUGUAAAAC
rnacentral:rRNA from 1 species